rnacentral:lncRNA from 1 species
UUGCCAAACUAGGCCCUAAGCAUGCUAAGAUCAUCUAAGUCUAGCAUCGAGUGAUUUUUUUGGACAUGAAGUUUUCAUUCCCAUGCCCAAUACCAGAAUCCCUUGGGUCACCUCCUGAAGGAGAAUUGGAAGGCUCCCUCGCCACCUCUUUCCCUGGUCUACCCAUCGUAGAGCUAAUGGACAACACUAAAUCCAAAGAAGAAGGCGAGUAAAGAAACACAGAGAUGAAGGAAAAGCGAUGAGUGGAUCCACAAAGAAAGAAAGAAUAGAUUGGAAGGUGACGGGGGAAGAGAACUCUGAGAGACUAACCUGCA